GUGCCUUUGAUUAGGAGUUCUUUUUAGAGUCCGACCCUUUCAUUUUCUUACACUGUGCACACACUUCUUUUUUACACACACUUUUAACACCUUAGUAUAAGAAUGUAAUAGUCUCUUAAUUGAGCAUAAAUAAAAACAAAACUUUCAGCAACGGAUCUCUUGGCUCUCGCAUCGAUGAAGAACGCAGCGAAUUGCGAUAAGUAAUGUGAAUUGCAGAAUUCAGUGAAUCAUCGAAUCUUUGAACGCACCUUGCACUCUUUGGUAUUCCGAAGAGUAUGUCUGUUUGAGUGUCAUGAAACUCUCAACCCCCCUAUUUUGUAAUGAGAUGGGUGUGGGCUUGGAUUAUGGUUGUCUGUCGGCGUAAUUGCCGGCUCAACUGAAAUACACGAGCAACCCUAUUGAAAUAAACGGUUUGACUUGGCGUAAUAAUUAUUUCGCUAAGGACGUUUUCUUCAAAUAUAAGAGGUGCUUCUAAUUCGCUUCUAAUAGCAUUUAAGCUUUAGACCUCAAAUCAGUCAGGACUACCCGCUGAACUUAAGCAUAUCAAUAAGCGGAGGAACAGA
rnacentral:rRNA from 1 species